rnacentral:piRNA from 1 species
UCCUGAUCUACAUUUUGAACCUACUUUU